rnacentral:rRNA from 1 species
CCUACGGGUAGCAGCAGUGAGGAAUAUUGGUCAAUGGGCGCGAGCCUGAACCAGCCAAGUAGCGUGAAGGAUGACUGCCCUACGGGUUGUAAACUUCUUUUAUAAAGGAAUAAAGUGCGGCACGUGUGCCUUUUUGUAUGUACUUUAUGAAUAAGGAUCGGCUAACUCCGUGCCAGCAGCCGCUGUAAUACGGAGGAUCCGAGCGUUAUCCGGAUUUAUUGGGUUUAAAGGGAGCGUAGAUGGGUUGUUCAGUCAGUUGUGAAAGUUUGAGGAUCAACCGUAAAAUUGCAAUUGAUACUGGCAGCCUUGAGUACAGGUGAGGUAGGCGGAAUUCGUGGUGUAGCGGUGAAAUGCUUAGAUAUCACGAAGAACUCCGAUUGCGAAGGCAGCUUACUAAACUGCCACUGACAUUGAUGCUCGAAAGUGUGGGUAUCAAACAGGAUUAGAUACCCCUGUAGUC